UUUAUGACUUUGUGGCUGUGCCAGCUAGUGAUCACUCUGCAGAGCUGCCUCCAGGGUAAGAUUCAUGACAAUAAAUGCCAACCUGCGGAUUGGGAAAGGAAUGCUUCGGAAACCACCUAUUUCCAUACGGUUGGUUUCAAAACAUCAGGAUUCGAAAAAGUUGCAAUGAAGGACGUGUGUUUCCAGUGUUAUCACACAAAAUGCCCAGAGGUGGCCAUAUUUUAUGAUCUUAAUGGUGAUCUGAACAAGAAUCUGCUGGUGCCAGGCCCUUUCCAGAAAUGCACCUCCACUCCCUAUCCUCCAUCUGGGAAGUGCACCAUGUGUCUCCAGGAUAAUUAUUCUUAUGCUUUGUGCAGAAGUGUGUCAGAGAGUCUCCAGCCUGCCCUGGAGGCCAAUAGAACUGCCGUUACCAACUAUAAACAAACCAAUUGCUCUGUCGUUGGCAUCGCGUCAACUACUGUGAAUGGUCCAGACUUCACUGGAGCUGGUGGUCAAAACGGACAUCCUGGUGAGUGCAGAAAUACACAGCGCAGCAAUGCUGCUCAACACUGACAAUUUCCCUCUGACAGACGAAUCUACUCCUCAGUGGCUUUGCAAAUUGUACUGUCUGUCUUUUGUAAUUGUAUUAAUCCGUUGAUUUGAUUAAUGCUUCAUGCUUUAUGAUUCCUCCUCAUUGUAAAUAAUUAGUCCUCCAAAUGUAAUAUGAUACAUACUUAUUCCAUCAUUUUGUGUUCCUUUAUCUGUUGUUCUUAAGGGGGUGAACUGUGGUGGUGUUUACUGAUCCUCGUCCUGGUCGUCAUUGGCAUUGGCAUUGCUUACUGGUGUAUCAAGAAGCGCAAAAUAAUUAGAAACCAUGUCGUAUAAGGGUGAGUGUGUUCUGACUGUAACGAUAUACAGUGGGGCAAAAAAGUAUUUAGUCAGCCACCAAUUGUGCAUGUUCUCCCACUUAAAAAGAUGAGAGAGGCAUGUAAUUUUCAUCAUAGGUACACUUCAACUAUGACAAAUUAUGGUGGAAAAUAAGUAUUUGGUCACAUACAAACAAGCAAGAUUUCUGUCUCUCACAGACCUGUAACUUCUUCUUUAAGAGGCUCCUCUGUCCUCCACUCGUUACCUGUAUUAAUGGCACCUGUUUGAACUUGUUAUCAGUAUAAAAGACACCUGUCCACAACCUCUAACAGUCACACUCCAAACUCCACUAUGGCUAAGACCAAAGAACUGUCAAAGGACACCAGAAACAAAAUUGUAGACCUGCACCAGGCUGGGAAGACUGAAUCUGCAAAAGGUAAGCAGCUUGGUUUGAAGAAAUCAACUGUGGGAGCAAUUAUUAGGAAAUGAAAGACAUACAAGACCACUGAUAAUCUCCCUCGAUCUGGGGCUCCACGUAAGAUCUCACCCCGUGGGGUCAAAACGAUCACAAGAACGGUGAGCAAAAAUCCCAGAACCACACGGGGGGACCUAGUGAAUGACCUGCAGAAAGCUGGGACCAAAGUAACAAAGCCUACCUUCAGUAACACACUACGCCGCCAUUGACUCAAAUCCUGCAGUGCCAGACGUGUCCCCCUGCUUAAGCCAGUACAUGUCCAGGCCCGUCUGAAGUUUGCUAGAGAGCAUUUGGAUGAUCCAGAAGAAGAUUGGGAGAAUGUCAUAUGGUCAGAUGAAACCAAAAUAUAACUUUUUGGUAAAAACUCAACUCGUCGUGUUUGGAGGACAAAGAAUGCUGAGUUGCAUCCAAAGAACACCAUACCUACUGUGAAGCAUGGGGGUGGAAACAUCAUGCUUUGGGGCUGUUUUUCUGCAAAGGGACCAGGACGACUGAUCCGUGUAAAGGAAAGAAUGAAUGGGGCCAUGUAUAGUGAGAUUUUGAGUGAAAACCUCCUCCAUCAGCAAGGGCAUUGAAGAUGAAACGUGGCUGGGUCUUUCAGCAUGACAAUGAUCCCAAACACACCGCCCGGGCAACGAAGGAGUGGCUUCGUAAGAAGCAUUUCAAGGUCCUGGAGUGGCCUAGCCAGUCUCCAGAUCUCAACCCCAUAGAAAAUCUUUGGAGGGAGUUGAAAGUCCAUGUUGACCAGCAACAGCCCCAAAACAUCACUGCUCUAGAGGAGAUCUGCAUGGAAGAAUGGGCCAAAAUACCAGCAACAGUGUGUGAAAACCUUGUGAAGACUUACAGAAAACGUUUGACCUCUGUCAUUGCCAACAAAGGGUUUAUAACAAAGUAUUGAGAUAAACUUUUGUUAUUGACCAAAUACUUAUUUUCCACCAUAAUUUGCAAAUAAAAUCAUUAAAAAUCCUACAAUGUGAUUUUCUGGAUUUUUUUUCUCAUUUUGUCUGUCAUAGUUGAAGUGUACCUAUGAUGAAAAUUACAGGCCUCUCUCAUCUUUUUAAGUGGGAGAACUUGCACAAUUGGUGGCUGACUAAAUACUUUUUUGCCCCACUGUAGCU
rnacentral:lncRNA from 13 species